rnacentral:rRNA from 1 species
GUAAGCUACUAAGAGCAAAUGGUGGAUGCCUUGCCUAGUAGAGGCGAUGAAGGACGUGCCAGGCUGCGAUAAGUCUCGGGGAGCUGUCAAGGAGCUUUGAUCCGGGAAUUUCCGAAUGGGGCAACCCAAAUGAUAGUAAUAUCAUUUACCCAAUGUGGAGCGAACUAGGGGAACUGAAACAUCUAAGUACCCUAAGGAAAAGAAAUCAAUAGAGAUUACGCUAGUAGCGGCGAGCGAACGCGUAAGAGGGCAAACCACUAGCUUGCUAGUGGGGUUGUAGGACUGCAAUAUAGACUAAACUUAGCUAAUAGAAUAGGCUGGAAAGCCUGAGCAUAGAGGGUGAUACUCCCGUAUAUGAAAGCUUCGUUUUACUUAGCAGGAUCCUGAGUAGGACGGGACACGUGAAAUCCUGUUUGAAGCUGGGUAGACCACUAUCCAACCCUAAAUACUACUACUAGAGCGAUAGCGAACAAGUACCGUGAGGGAAAGGUGAAAAGAACGGCGGUGAGCCGAGUGAAAUAGAACCUGAAACCAUUUGCUUACAAUCAUUCAGAGCACUAUGAUUUAUCAGUGUGAUGGACUGCCUUUUGCAUAAUGAGCCUGCGAGUUGUGGUAUCUGGCAAGGUUAAGCAAACCCGGAGCCGUAGCGAAAGCGAGUCUUAAUAGGGCGUUAAGUCAGAUGCUGCAGACCCGAAACGAUGUGAUCUAUCCAUAGAGCAGGUUGAAACCGGUGUAAGAGCCGGUGGAGGACCGAACAGACGGCUGUUGAAAAAGCUCCUGAUGACUUGUGGAUAGGGGUGAAAGGCCAAUCAAACAUCGUGAUAGCUGGUUCUCUCCGAAAUAUAUUGAGGUAUAGCGUUGUGUCGUAAUACUAAGGGGUAGAGCACUGAAUGGGCUAGGGCAUACACCAAUGUACCAAACCCUAUCAAACUCCGAAUACUUAGUAUGUAAUCACAGCAGUCAGGCGGCGAGUGAUAAAAUCCGUCGUCAAGAGGGGAACAACCCAGACUAACAGCUAAGGUCCCAAAAUCUCAUUUAAGUGGAAAACGAUGUGAAGUUACUGAAACAACCAGGAGGUUGGCUUAGAAGCAGCCAUCCUUUAAAGAAAGCGUAAUAGCUCACUGGUCUAGUGAUUUUGCGCGGAAAAUAUAACGGGGCUAAAAUGAGUACCGAAGCUUUAGGCUUGCAUACAACUUAGAUUAUAUAAAUUAACUUUUAUUUAUGGUUAAAUUUUAAAAUUUAUAAAGUUAGAAAUUUGAAAAUUUUAAUAAUAGUAUUUUUUAAAAAUAUUUUAAAAAAUAUUCUUAUUUUAAAAUUUUGCUAAAUAAUCUAAGUUGUGUGCAAGCGGUAGGAGAGCGUUCUAUUUAGCGUUGAAGAUGUACCGGUAAGGAGCGUUGGAGCAAAUAGAAGUGAGCAUGCAGGCAUGAGUAGCGAUAAAAGGGGUGAGAAUCCCCUUCGCCGUAAACCCAAGGUUUCCUACGCGAUGCUCGUCAUCGUAGGGUUAGUCGGGUCCUAAGCAAAGUCCGAAAGGGGUAUGCGAUGGAAAAUCGGUUAAUAUUCCGAUACCAAUUAUUGUGUGCGAUGGAAGGACGCUUAAAGUUAGUGGAGCUAGCGGAUGGAAGUGCUAGUCUAAGGAAGUAGGUUAAGUGGUAGGCAAAUCCGCCAUUUUUUAUCCGAGAUCUUAAAGGCUUAUGACGCUCUUCGGAGUAGAUUAAGAAUCCAUAAUACUAUCGAGCCAAGAAAAGUUUCUAAGUUUAGCAAUAAUUGCCCGUACCGUAAACCGACACAGGUGGGUGGGAUGAGUAUUCUAAGGCGCGUGGAAGAACUCUCUUUAAGGAACUCUGCAAAAUAGCACCGUAUCUUCGGUAUAAGGUGUGCCUAACUUUGUUAGUGGAUUUACUCCACAAAGCAUUGAAGGUUACAACAAAGAGUCCCUCCCGACUGUUUACCAUAAACACAGCACUCUGCUAACUCGUAAGAGGAUGUAUAGGGUGUGACGCCUGCCCGGUGCUCGAAGGUUAAUUGAUGAUGUCAGCUCUGCGAAGCAUUUGAUCGAAGCCCGAGUAAACGGCGGCCGUAACUAUAACGGUCCUAAGGUAGCGAAAUUCCUUGUCGGUUAAAUACCGACCUGCAUGAAUGGCGUAACGAGAUGGGAGCUGUCUCAAAGAGGGAUCCAGUGAAAUUGUAGUGGAGGUGAAAAUUCCUCCUACCCGCGGCAAGACGGAGAGACCCCGUGGACCUUUACUAUAGCUUGACACUGCUACUUGGAUAAGAAUGUGCAGGAUAGGUGGGAGGCUUUGAGGCUAGGACGCCAGUUCUAGUGGAGCCAUUGUUGAGAUACCACUCUUUCUUAUUUGGGUAGCUAACUAGCUUGCGUUAUCCGCAAGUAGGACAAUGUCUGGUGGGUAGUUUGACUGGGGCGGUCGCCUCCCAAAAUGUAACGGAGGCUUACAAAGGUUGGCUCAUUGCGGUUGGAAAUCGCAAGUUGUGUAUAAAGGCAUAAGCCAGCUUAACUGCGAGGCAUACAGGCCAAGCAGGGACGAAAGUCGGUCUUAGUGAUCCGGUGGUUCUGUGUGGAAGGGCCAUCGCUCAAAGGAUAAAAGGUACCCCGGGGAUAACAGGCUGAUCUCCCCCAAGAGCUCACAUCGACGGGGAGGUUUGGCACCUCGAUGUCGGCUCAUCGCAUCCUGGGGCUGGAGCAGGUCCCAAGGGUAUGGCUGUUCGCCAUUUAAAGCGGUACGCGAGCUGGGUUCAGAACGUCGUGAGACAGUUCGGUCCCUAUCUGCCGUGGGCGUAAGAAGAUUGAGGAGAGUUGACUCUAGUACGAGAGGACCGAGUUGAACGAACCACUGGUGUAUCUGUUGUUCUGCCAAGAGCAUCGCAGAGUAGCUAAGUUCGGAUGUGAUAAGAGCUGAAAGCAUCUAAGCUCGAAGCCAACUCCAAGAUGAAUCUUCUUUUAAGAGCUCGGAAAGACUAUCCGUUUGAUAGGCUGGGUGUGUAAGUGGUGAAAGCCAUUUAGCUGACCAGUACUAAUAGCUCGUUUGCUUAUCUUU